AGAGUUUGAUCAUGGCUCAGAACGAACGCUGGCGGCGUGCCUAACACAUGCAAGUCGAGCGCGAAUGGAGCAAUCCUAGUAGAGCGGCGCACGGGUGCGUAACACGUGGAUAAUCUGCCUGGGUGUCUGGGAUAACCAGUCGAAAGAUUGGCUAAUACCGGAUGAGCCCCCGGGAGCUUCGGCUCUUGAGGGAAAAGGUGGCCUCUGUAAACAAGCUAUCACAUCCAGAUGAGUCCGCGGCCCAUCAGCUAGUUGGCGGGGUAAUGGCCCACCAAGGCAACGACGGGUAGCUGGUCUGAGAGGACGAUCAGCCACACUGGAACUGAGACACGGUCCAGACUCCUACGGGAGGCAGCAGUGGGGAAUUUUGCGCAAUGGGCGAAAGCCUGACGCAGCAACGCCGCGUGUGUGAUGAAGGUCUUCGGAUUGUAAAGCACUUUCGACCGGGACGAAAACCCUGAGGCCAACACCCUCAGGCUUGACGGUACCGGGAGAAGAAGCACCGGCUAACUCUGUGCCAGCAGCCGCGGUAAUACAGAGGGUGCAAGCGUUGUUCGGAAUUAUUGGGCGUAAAGCGCGUGUAGGCGGCUUUGCAAGUCGGGUGUGAAAGCCCUCAGCUCAACUGAGGAAGUGCGCCCGAAACUGCAGAGCUUGAGUGCCGGAGAGGGUGGCGGAAUUCCCCAAGUAGAGGUGAAAUUCGUAGAUAUGGGGAGGAACACCGGUGGCGAAGGCGGCCACCUGGACGGUAACUGACGCUGAGACGCGAAAGCGUGGGGAGCAAACAGGAUUAGAUACCCUAGUAGUCC
rnacentral:rRNA from 1 species